GAUGAACGCUGGCGGCGUGCCUAACACAUGUAAGUCGAACGUGAGGGCUGAGCAAUCGGCCUGAAAGUGGCGAACGGGUGAGUAACACGUGGGUAACCUACCCUUGAGUGGGGGAUAACGACUGGAAACGGUCGCUAAUACCGCAUACGACCUUCGAUGCGAGAGCAUGGAAGAUGAAAGAUUUAUUGCUCAAGGAGGGGCCCGCGGUCGAUUAGCUAGUUGGUGGGGUAAUGGCCUACCAAGGCGAUGAUCGAUAGCUGGUCUGAGAGGAUGAUCAGCCACACGGGAACUGAGACACGGUCCCGACUCCUACGGGGGGCAGCAGUGAGGAAUAUUGCACAAUGGGCGAAAGCCUGAUGCAGCAACGCCGCGUGGAGGAUGAAGGUCUUUGGAUUGUAAACUCCUUUUCUGUGGGACGAGAGAGGACGGUACCACAGGAAUAAGUCACGGCUAACUACGUG
rnacentral:rRNA from 1 species